rnacentral:tRNA from 1 species
GCCCGGGUGGCGAAAUUGGUAGACGCAAGGGACUUAAAAUCCCUCGAGAGAAAUCUCGUGCCGGUUCGACUCCGGCCCCGGGCACCA